rnacentral:rRNA from 1 species
UGGGGAAUAUUGCACAAUGGGCGCAAGCCUGAUGCAGCCAUGCCGCGUGUAUGAAGAAGGCCUUCGGGUUGUAAAGUACUUUCAGCGAGGAGGAAGGCGGUAAGGUUAAUAACCUUAUCGAUUGACGUUACUCGCAGAAGAAGCACCGGCUAACUCCGUGCCAGCAGCCGCGGUAAUACGGAGGGUGCAAGCGUUAAUCGGAAUUACUGGGCGUAAAGCGCACGCAGGCGGUCUGUCAAGUCGGAUGUGAAAUCCCCGGGCUCAACCUGGGAACUGCAUUCGAAACUGGCAGGCUAGAGUCUUGUAGAGGGGGGUAGAAUUCCAGGUGUAGCGGUGAAAUGCGUAGAGAUCUGGAGGAAUACCGGUGGCGAAGGCGGCCCCCGGGACAAAGACUGACGCUCAGGUGCGAAAGCGUGGGGAGCAAACA